UACGGAGGAUGCAAGCGUUAUCCGGAAUGAUUGGGCGUAAAGAGUCCGUAGGUGGUAUUACAAGUCUGUGGUUAAAGCGCGAAGCUCAACUUCGUAAGGGCCAUGGAAACUGUGAAACUAGAGUGGGAUAGGGGUAGAGGGAAUUCUCGGUGUAGCGGUGAAAUGCGUAGAUAUCGAGAAGAACACCGGUGGCGAAAGCGCUCUACUGGAUCUUAACUGACACUGAGGGACGAAAGCUAGGGGAGCGAAAGGG
rnacentral:rRNA from 1 species